AAUGAACGCUGGCGGCGCGCCUAAUACAUGCAAGUCGAGCGAGAAGACGUAGCAAUACGUUUGUAAAGCGGCGAACGGGUGAGGAAUACAUGGGGUAACCUACCCUCGAGUGGGGAAGUAACUAGCCGAAAGGUUAGCUAAUACCGCGUACGCUUCUUGGACUUCGGUUCAGGGAGGAAAGCGAUGCCGAGGGUAUCGCGCUCUUGGAUGGGCUCAUGUCCUAUCAGCUU
rnacentral:rRNA from 1 species